rnacentral:lncRNA from 1 species
CUGAAUUUGGGGUCAGGUGCUGAGAUUUGGGGUCGGUUUGUGAGAGUUUGGGGUCAGGGCUGGAGAUUUGGGGUCAUUUCAUGAGAGUUUGGGGUCAGAUGCUGAGAUUUGGGGCUGAUUGGGCUGAAUUUGGGGUCAGUUCAUGAGAGUUUGGGGUCAGAUGCUGAGAUUUGGGGUCAGAUGCUGAGAUUUGGGGUCAUUUCAUGAGAGUUCGGGGUCAGAUGCUGAGAUUUGGGGUCAGAUGCUGAGAUUUGGGGCCGAUUGGGCUGAAUUUGGGGUCGGGUGCUGAGAUUUGGGGUCAUUUUGUGAGGGUUUGGGGUCAGAUGCUGAGAUUUGGGGUCAGAUGCUGAGAUUUGGGGUCCGUUUGUGAGAGUUUGGGGUCAGUCUGUGAGAAUUUGGGGCCGAUUGGGCUGAAUUUGGGGUCGGGUGCUGAGAUUUGGGG